ACGAACGCUGGCGGCGUGCCUAAUGCAUGCAAGUCGCACGCACUUCGCUUUGCGAGGUGAGUGGCGCACGGCUGAGGAACACGUACGAAUCUACCCUCGCGUGGGGAAUAACACCGCGAAAGCAGUGCUAAUUCCGCAUACGUCCUGUCUUCUGGGCAGGGGAAAGCCGCACGGCGCGCGAGGAUGAGCGUGCGGCCCAUCAGGUAGUUGGCGGGGUAACGGCCCACCAAGCCGAUGACGGGUAGCUGGUCUGUGAGGACAACCAGCCAGACUGGGACUGAGACACGGCCCAGACUCCUACGGGAGGCAGCAGCAAGGAAUUUUCCCCAAUGGGCUCACGCCUGAGGGAGCAACGCCGCGUGCAGGAUGACGGCCUUCGGGUUGUAAACUGCUUUUCGGAGGGAAGAUAACGACGAUACCUCCGGAAUAAGCCCCGGCUAACUCUGUGCCAGCAGCCGCGGUAAUACAGAGGGGGCAAGCGUUGUCCGGACUGACUGGGCGUAAAGCGUCCGCAGGUGGCGUGGCAAGUACGGUGUGAAAUCAGGCGGCUCAACCGCUUGCGGUCAUCGUAGACUGCCAGGCUGGAGGACUGGAGAGGUCGGUGGAAUUGCCGGUGUAGUGGUGACAUGCGUAGAUAUCGGCAGGAACACCCAAGGGGAAGCCAGCCGACUGGCCAGUACCUGACACUGAGGGACGACAGCGUGGGGAGCGAACUGGAUUAGAUACCCAGGUAGUCCACGCCGUAAACGAUGGACGCUCGAUCUCUGGUGGGUAACCAGUCCCGCUGGGGGUCUUAGCUAACGCGCAAGCGUCCCGCCUGGGAACUACGAGCGCAAGCUUAAAACUCAAAGGAAUUGACGGGGGCCCGCACAAGCAGCGGAGCGUGUGGUUUAAUUCGACGCAACGCGCAGAACCUUACCCGGAUUUGACUUGCAGCUGCAAGCCGCUGAAAGGCGGUCGCCUUCGAGGGUGCUGCACAGGUGCUGCAUGGCUGUCGUCAGCUCAUGUCGUGAGAUGUUGGGUUAAGUCCCGCAACGAGCGCAACCCCUACGGUCAGUUAUUCGUGUCUGGCCGGACUGCCCAUUUGGGGAGGAAGGUGGGGAUGACGUCAAGUCCGCAUGGCCCUUACGUCUGGGGCGACACACACGCUACAAUGACGCCGACAAUCCGCAGCGACACAGCAAUGUGAAGCGAAUCGUCGAAACGGCGUCCCAGUGCAGAUUGAGGGCUGAAACUCGCCCUCAUGAAGACGGAGUUGCUAGUAACCGCGCAUCAGCAGUGGUGCGGUGAAUACGUACCCAGGCCUUGUACACACCGCCCGUCACGUCAUGGGAGUCGACAACGCCUGAAGUCCGUGGGCCGACCGCUUCUGCGGGGGCAGCGGCCGAGGGCGGGGUUGGCGACUGGGACG
rnacentral:rRNA from 1 species